UUGAUCCUGGCUCAGAAUCAACGCUGGCGGCGUGCCUCAGACAUGCAAGUCGAACGAUUAAAGCUCUCUUCGGAGAGUGUAUAGAGUGGCGCACGGGUGUGUAACACGUAAGUAAUCUACCUUUGAGUGGGGAAUAACACCGAGAAAUCUGUGCUAAUACCGCAUAAUGCAGCGGCAUCGCAAGAUGACAGUUGUUAAAUAUUUAUCGCUUGAAGAGGAGCUUGCGGCAGAUUAGCUAGUUGGUAAGGUUAUGGCUUACCAAGGCUACGAUCUGUAACCGGUCUAAGAGGACGGUCGGUUACACUGACACUGAAUAACGGGUCAGACUCCUACGGGAGGCAGCAGUCGGUAAUUUUGGGCAAUGGGCGAAAGCCUGACCCAGCAACGCCGCGUGAAGGAUGAAGUAUUUCGGUAUGUAAACUUCGAAAGAAUGGGAAGAAUAAAUGACGUUACCAUUUAUAAGGUCCGGCUAACUACGUGCCAGCAGCCGCGGUAAUAAUGU
rnacentral:rRNA from 1 species